GUCGUACGAGAAAGUCGGCUUCGGCCGAUGAGUACAGUGGCGCACGGGUGAGUAGCGCGUGGGUAAUCUGCCCCCCGGUCAGGAAUAACCCGCCGAAAGGCGGGCUAAUACCCGAUAACACUGACGCUCCGCGGAGCGUCUUUCAAAGAAGGCCUCUGUUUACAAGCUUUCGCCGGAGGAUGAGCCCGCGUACCAUUAGCUAGUUGGCAGGGUAAUGGCCUACCAAGGCUACGAUGGUUAGCUGGUCUGAGAGGAUGGCCAGCCACACUGGAACUGAGACACGGUCCAGACUCCUACGGGAGGCAGCAGUGAGGAAUCUUGCGCAAUGGGGGAAACCCUGACGCAGCAACGCCGCGUGAGUGAGGAAGGCCUUCGGGUCGUAAAGCUCUGUCAGAUGGGAAGAAAUGGAUGGGGGCUAAUAUCGCCCAUCCUUGACGGUACCAUCAGAGGAAGCACCGGCUAACUCCGUGCCAGCAGCCGCGGUAAUACGGGGGGUGCGAGCGUUGUUCGGAAUCAUUGGGCGUAAAGAGCGCGCAGGCGGCUUGGUGAGUCAGAUGUGAAAGCCCUGGGCUUAACCCAGGAAGUGCAUUUGAUACUGCCUCGCUAGAGUACGGGAGAGGAAAGUGGAAUUCCUGGUGUAGAGGUGAAAUUCGUAGAUAUCA
rnacentral:rRNA from 1 species